UACGGGGGGGGCAAGCGUUGUUCGGAAUUACUGGGCGUAAAGGGCGCGUAGGCGGCCUUCUAAGUCGAACGUGAAAUCCCCGGGCUCAACCCGGGAACUGCGUCCGAUACUGGAAGGCUUGAAUCCGGGAGAGGGAUGUGGAAUUCCAGGUGUAGCGGUGAAAUGCGUAGAUAUCUGGAGGAACACCGGUGGCGAAGGCGACAUCCUGGACCGGUAUUGACGCUGAGGCGCGAAAGCCAGGGGAGCAAACGGG
rnacentral:rRNA from 1 species